rnacentral:rRNA from 1 species
AGAGUUUGAUCCUGGCUCAGGAUGAACGCUAGCUACAGGCUUAACACAUGCAAGUCGAGGGGCAGCAUCAUCAAAGCUUGCUUUGAUGGAUGGCGACCGGCGCACGGGUGAGUAACACGUAUCCAACCUGCCGACAACACUGGGAUAGCCUUUCGAAAGAAAGAUUAAUACCGGAUGGCAUAGUUUUCCCGCAUGGGAUAAUUAUUAAAGAAUUUCGGUUGUCGAUGGGGAUGCGUUCCAUUAGGCAGUUGGCGGGGUAACGGCCCACCAAACCUACGAUGGAUAGGGGUUCUGAGAGGAAGGUCCCCCACAUUGGAACUGAGACACGGUCCAAACUCCUACGGGAGGCAGCAGUGAGGAAUAUUGGUCAAUGGACGAGAGUCUGAACCAGCCAAGUAGCGUGAAGGAUGACUGCCCUAUGGGUUGUAAACUUCUUUUAUACGGGAAUAAAGUGAGCCACGUGUGGCUUUUUGUAUGUACCGUAUGAAUAAGGAUCGGCUAACUCCGUGCCAGCAGCCGCGGUAAUACGGAGGAUCCGAGCGUUAUCCGGAUUUAUUGGGUUUAAAGGGAGCGUAGGCGGGUUGUUAAGUCAGUUGUGAAAGUUUGCGGCUCAACCGUAAAAUUGCAGUUGAUACUGGCAGUCUUGAGUACAGUAGAGGUGGGCGGAAUUCGUGGUGUAGCGGUGAAAUGCUUAGAUAUCACGAAGAACUCCGAUUGCGAAGGCAGCUUACUGGAUUGUAACUGACGCUGAUGCUCGAAAGUGUGGGUAUCAAACAGGAUUAGAUACCCUGGUAGUCCACACAGUAAACGAUGAAUACUCGCUGUUUGCGAUAUACAGUAAGCGGCCAAGCGAAAGCGUUAAGUAUUCCACCUGGGGAGUACGCCGGCAACGGUGAAACU